rnacentral:lncRNA from 1 species
GUUUGAAUGAAUACAACGUCGCCCGGUUUGAAUAUUAUCGCUAUUUUACGAGAAGAAUCGCAUAAAAAAUGUAUUUUAAACAGCGUUUGACAUGCUUCGAAGUACGGUAAUGGAAUAUUUUGACAUUUUUUGUCACGAAAUGCGCUCGCGCGUCACCCUUCGGAUUGUGACCUGAACGCACGAACAAAACGGAGCUAUUUCAAUAUAACUAUGGAUUAUUUAGAACCCAAAAAACAUUUGUUGUAGAAGUCCUGGGAGUGCAUUCUGACGAAGAACAGCAAAGACGAUCGUUACAGAACUACCCACCACAACUGGAUAAAGCAGCAUGUUCGGGAGGAGAUGGACACCUGGUCUCAUCAGGAGUGGAUUGGGAGGAGAGACUGGACUUGGGGCCAGGUGAUCGACAGAUAUUGGAGCCUACCCGGGAAGAACGAGAGGCAGCCCCAAAACAUUUUUUUGGGGGGGCACACGGGUAGUUCGGCUGGACCAGGGGUGAGGCCUGAGUCAACUACCCAUGCUUUUCAGGUGCCUGCCUCUCGCACUCUCUCUCCAGUACGUCCUCUUCCUGCUCCUCGCACUAGCCUUGUAGUGCCUCCUCCCAGGACCAGGCCUCCAGUGGGUCUCCCCAGCCUGGUUCUCCAUGCUGGCGUUCUCCGAUGGGUUGAAGGUGUGGCGCCUGGCACUGCAGGAGCCUACAGAGGAGGCAUGCUGUGACGUGGUGCAGUGGGCAUAUCAACUCAACACCCAUGGAGGAACCAACAGCCUGGAGGACCUACAGGUUACCCAGCACGGAGGGGCAGGUGUGUCUGAGCCAAGAGGUGGAAGAGGAAUGAAAGCAGUUGGAGACAGCUGAGGAAGGACCUGACGGGAGGAUCCAACUGGAAGAUCCACACCUUCGAUCACUAGCAGAGGGUCAACCGAGAUGAAAGGCCCUGCAGAGGGGCCCGGAAGGAUUCCCAUCUGGAGGAGAGGUGAUGGUGGAGAGAAUGGGACAUCUAGUCUGGGAUGAAGUUGAGGACACCUGGAGGUGGCAAAUCCUGGUGCUAAACACUGCCACCAAAGACUUGUGGCAGAGGUACCACACCUUAAUUGGACACAUGAGUGCUGGCUGAACCGAAGCAGCUUUGCGACAUUGGAUCACUGAGUGCCCCUAGUGUGGGCAGAGCAAACUGAGACCAGAGAUGUGGAUGGGCUGUCCCCACAAAAAGACAGACUGCGGAGACCACUGUAAAAGCCCUACAGCCAGCUGUAGUGCAAGACUGGGGUUGUCCUCAGUGGAUUUUGUCCGAUUGGGGGGCAGCUUUUGAAUCCGCACUUGAAUCCGUUGCCAGAUCUGCCAACUGUAUGAGUUUGCCAACAUCUGAACAAUAGAGACCGUGAAACAUUUAUCUCUCCUUGGGUCCCUGGUGCAAGAUGAGCAGAUGCGUUGGCCAGAGCAGUUACACAUAUUUUUCCAGGAAUACAACACCACUGAACAUAGCAGCACCAUGCUUUACCCCAUUCUUUGUAACGUGUGGCAGGCAUGCCCGUCUCACUGUUGUUGCGAUUUCAGGUGUGGAGGCCCCGACGCUGCGGAUGGAC